rnacentral:rRNA from 1 species
UACGUAGGGGGCAAGCGUUGUCCGGAAUCAUUGGGCGUAAAGAGCGUGUAGGCGGCCCGAUAAGUCCGCUGUGAAAGUCCAGGGCUCAACCCUGGUAUGCCGGUGGAUACUGUCGGGCUCGAAUCCGGAAGAGGUGAGUGGAAUUCCUGGUGUAGCGGUGAAAUGCGCAGAUAUCAGGAGGAACACCAAUGGCGAAGGCAGCUCACUGGGACGGUAUUGACGCUGAGACGCGAAAGCGUGGGGAGCAAACAGG